rnacentral:hammerhead_ribozyme from 1 species
AUCCAGAUGACGAAUCCCAAAUAGAGUGAAACGCACGUCCUGGAG